AGUAUAAUGGCUGAUUUUAAAGUGAUAAAUUGUAAAUUUAUUUAUGAGAAUAUUCUCUUAUACUA
rnacentral:tRNA from 1 species